rnacentral:rRNA from 1 species
GGAACGAGUUAUCUGACCUUCGGGGAACGAUAACGGCGUCUAGUGGCGGACGGGUGAGUAAUGCCUAGGAAAUUGCCCUGAUGUGGGGGAUAACCAUUGGAAACGAUGGCUAAUACCGCAUGAUGCCUACGGGCCAAAGAGGGGGACCUUCGGGCCUUUCGCGUCAGGAUAUGCCUAGGUGGGAUUAGCUAGUUGGUGAGGUAAGGGCUCACCAAGGCGACGAUCCCUAGCUGGUCUGAGAGGAUGAUCAGCCACACUGGAACUGAGACACGGUCCAGACUCCUACGGGAGGCAGCAGUGGGGAAUAUUGCACAAUGGGCGCAAGCCUGAUGCAGCCAUGCCGCGUGUAUGAAGAAGGCCUUCGGGUUGUAAAGUACUUUCAGUCGUGAGGAAGGCGGCGUCGUUAAUAGCGGCGUUGUUUGACGUUAGCGACAGAAGAAGCACCGGCUAACUCCGUGCCAGCAGCCGCGGUAAUACGGAGGGUGCGAGCGUUAAUCGGAAUUACUGGGCGUAAAGCGCAUGCAGGUGGUUUGUUAAGUCAGAUGUGAAAGC